UUUUAGACAGCUUAGAUUUUUAUCUGUCCCUUAUAGAAUUCAAGCAAACAAUAGUUUGGAGAUGAGUCUCUGGUUGUGUGGAACUAAUUGGAAGCUGAGAGGACAACUGAAGUGUCAUGGCCAGGGCUACUGUCUGGCAGAUACCCAAAGGUUCCUCACUGGAAGCUGGGUCCUGAGAGCCCAACCAGGUCAUGUGAGUUAUGCGCGUGAAGCAGGAACAGCUACCUCGGGGCCGUGAGGAAAUAGGACAAACCAUCUUGAAAUUGGAAGAGUUGGGGGUGAUAUGCCAGCAUAUAGCUUUUUCAGCUCCCCAGUAUGGCCUGUACGAAAACCGAUGGGACACAGCAAAUGCCUGUGGAUUACUUGGGAUUGAAUAAAGUGACUCUCCCAUUGCAUGCAGUGGUGUCUAAUGUUGCAGACUUGAUG
rnacentral:lncRNA from 1 species